rnacentral:rRNA from 1 species
AGAGUUUGAUCCUGGCUCAGGAUGAACGCUGGCGGCGUGCCUAAUACAUGCAAGUCGAACGCUUCACUUCGGUGAAGAGUGGCGAACGGGUGAGUAAUACAUAAGUAACCUGGCAUCUACAGGGGGAUAACUGAUGGAAACGUCAGCUAAGACCGCAUAGGUGUAGAGAUCGCAUGAACUCUAUAUGAAAAGUGCUACGGGACUGGUAGAUGAUGGACUUAUGGCGCAUUAGCUUGUUGGUAGGGUAACGGCCUACCAAGGCGACGAUGCGUAGCCGACCUGAGAGGGUGACCGGCCACACUGGGACUGAGACACGGCCCAGACUCCUACGGGAGGCAGCAGUAGGGAAUUUUCGGCAAUGGGGGAAACCCUGACCGAGCAACGCCGCGUGAAGGAAGAAGUAAUUCGUUAUGUAAACUUCUGUCAUAGAGGAAGAACGGUGGAUAUAGGGAAUGAUAUCCAAGUGACGGUACUCUAUAAGAAAGCCACGGCUAACUACGUGCCAGCAGCCGCGGUAAUACGUAGGUGGCGAGCGUUAUCCGGAAUUAUUGGGCGUAAAGAGGGAGCAGGCGGCACUAAGGGUCUGUGGCGAAAGAUCGAAGCUUAACUUCGGUAAGCCAUGGAAACCGUAGAGCUAGAGUGUGUGAGAGGAUCGUGGAAUUCCAUGUGUAGCGGUGAAAUGCGUAGAUAUAUGGAGGAACACCAGUGGCGAAGGCGACGAUCUGGCGCAUAACUGACGCUCAGUCCCGAAAGCGUGGGGAGCAAAUAGGAUUAGAUACCCUAGUAGUCCACGCCGUAAACGAUGAGUACUAAGUGUUGGGUGUCAAAGCUCAGUGCUGCAGUUAACGCAAUAAGUACUCCGCCUGAGUAGUACGUUCGCAAGAAUGAAACUCAAAGGAAUUGACGGGGGCCCGCACAAGCGGUGGAGCAUGUGGUUUAAUUCGAAGCAACGCGAAGAACCUUACCAGGUCUUGACAUCGAUCUAAAGGCUCCAGAGAUGGAGAGAUAGCUAUAGAGAAGACAGGUGGUGCAUGGUUGUCGUCAGCUCGUGUCGUGAGAUGUUGGGUUAAGUCCCGCAACGAGCGCAACCCCUAUCCUCAGUAGCCAGCAUUUAAGGUGGGCACUCUGGGGAGACUGCCAGGGAUAACCUGGAGGAAGGCGGGGAUGACGUCAAAUCAUCAUGCCCCUUAUGAUUUGGGCUACACACGUGCUACAAUGGCGUAAACAAAGGGAAGCGAGAUCGUGAGAUGGAGCAAAUCCCAAAAAUAACGUCCCAGUUCGGACUGUAGUCUGCAACCCGACUACACGAAGCUGGAAUCGCUAGUAAUCGCGGAUCAGAAUGCCGCGGUGAAUACGUUCCCGGGUCUUGCACACACCGCCCGUCA